rnacentral:rRNA from 1 species
GACAGAGGUGCCGAGCGUUAGGCGGAAUCACUGGGCUUAAAGCGUGUGUAGGCGGCCCGUUAAGUGCCUCGUGAAAUCCCCCGGCUCAACCGGGGAACUGCCGGGCAUACUGGCGGGCUUGGGUCGCUCAGGGGCAGACGGAACAGGCGGUGGAGCGGUGAAAGUGCGUAGAUAUCGCCUGGAACGCCGAAGGUGAAAACAGUCUGCUGGGGGCGUACCGACGGCU